rnacentral:misc_RNA from 5 species
GUAGGUUAUUGCCAGGGUUUUUAUUUUUAUACUUUAAACUUUGAUUUUAUUUUUAUGUUUUUUAAAUAUUGGUGUUUUUGAAUGUGUUGUUUAAAUAACAUAAAAAAUAAAAUAUAUAUUGACAUGUAUUAAACAAAGAUAUAUAUUAUUUUAUGUUGUAUAAAUAAAUUGGCAAAAUAGAGAUGGAAGAUAAAAAUAUGGUCAAAGUAAUAAGAGUC